CUUGAUGGAUUUCCUUUAACAAUGAUUGUCAGGUGCGCAAACAUUACACCAACAACAAUAGUCAUGGAAGUGGUGCAUAUCAAGAAAACAUCACGAAUACCUUGUCAGAGCUAUUGAAGUAGGAGCUCUCCACUACUUUGAGGAUAUGGCAUCAGAGAGCAAGAGAUAUGAGCAGACACCUUGUCAAAUUUCUUCAGGAUCUUCACAAAGGCCAUCAUGUUCAAGCUCCUGCAACAAGUGUGCGCUCCUUGUCAUAUCCACAUAACAAAAGGUUGAACUACAUGCCAUAUUGCAAAAUCAGCUAUGUGUACCGUCUUCUUUGAUUGGCUCAGCAUGUCCUCAAACAGCAGUUCGCAUAUGGCAGUGACAGUCCUUGACGGCGUGGUGACUGGGAUGUUGAUCCUCACGUUCCUGCCCUGGCAGGUGACCACCCUCCCUGA